GAUGAACGCUAGCGGGAGGCCUAAUACAUGCAAGUCGAGCGGUAGAGUGACUUCGGUUGCUUGAGAGCGGCGAACGGGUGAGUAACGCGUACACAAUCUACCUUUAAGAGGGGAAUAGCCCUGGGAAACUGGGAUUAAUGCCCCAUGGCAUCACGAGACGGCAUCGUUUUGUGAUUAAAGCUGAGGUGCUUAGAGAUGAGUGUGCGUCUGAUUAGCUAGUUGGUGCGGUAACGGCGCACCAAGGCGACGAUCAGUAGGGGGCGUGAGAGCGUGGACCCCCACACGGGUACUGAGACACGGACCCGACUCCUACGGGAGGCAGCAGUAAGGAAUAUUGGUCAAUGGAGGAAACUCUGAACCAGCCAUCCCGCGUGCAGGAAGAAUGCCCUAUGGGUUGUAAACUGCUUUUAUCUGGGAAGAAAAGUCGGGAUUUAUCCUGAUCUGACGGUACCAGAGGAAUAAGCACCGGCUAACUCCGUGCCAGCAG
rnacentral:rRNA from 1 species